GACGAACGCUGGCGGCGUGCUUAACACAUGCAAGUCGAACGGAAAGGCCCUGCUUUUGUGGGGUGCUCGAGUGGCGAACGGGUGAGUAACACGUGAGUAACCUGCCCUUGACUUUGGGAUAACUUCAGGAAACUGGGGCUAAUACCGGAUAGGAGCUCCUGCUGCAGGGUGGGGGUGGGAAAGUUUCGGCGGUUGGGGAUGGAUUCGCGGCUUAUCAGCUUGUUGGUGGGGUAGUGGCUUACCAAGGCUUGGAAGGGUAGCCGGCCUGAGAGGGUGACCGGCCACAUUGGGACUGAGGUACGGCCCAGACUCCUACGGGAGGCAGCAGUGGGGAAUAUUGCACAAUGGGCGGAAGCCUGAUGCAGCAACGCCGCGUGCGGGAUGCCGGCCUUCGGGUUGUAAACCGCUUUCGCCUGUGACGAAGCGUGAGUGACGGUAAUGGGUAAAGAAGCACCGGCUAACUACGUG
rnacentral:rRNA from 1 species